rnacentral:rRNA from 1 species
GACGAACGCUGGCGGCGUGCUUAACACAUGCAAGUCGAGCGGUAAGGCCCUUUCGGGGGUACACGAGCGGCGAACGGGUGAGUAACACGUGGGUGACCUGCCCUCAGCUCUGGGAUAAGCCUGGGAAACCGGGUCUAAUACUGGAUAUGACUCCAUGACGCAUGUUGUGGGGUGGAAAGCCUUGUGCGGCUGAGGAUGGGCCCGCGGCCUAUCAGCUUGUUGGUGGGGUGANGGCCUACCAAGGCGACGACGGGUAGCCGGCCUGAGAGGGCGACCGGCCACACUGGGACUGAGACACGGCCCAGACUCCUACGGGAGGCAGCAGUGGGGAAUCUUGCGCAAUGGGCGAAAGCUUGACGCAGCGACGCCGCGUGAGGGAUGACGGCCU